rnacentral:rRNA from 1 species
CCAAAUGGAUAGAGAAUGUAAGCAGACUUCCGAGAAAAUCUUCUAAGCAUAUUGAUACGGUACCCGUACCGCAAACCGACACAGGUAGUCAAGGAGAGAAUCCUGAGGUGCUCGAGUGAGUCAUGGCUAAGGAACUAGGCAAAUUAAACCUGUAACUUCGGGAAAAGGGUUGCCUCUCUUUAGCAAUAAAGAAGGUCGCAGAGAAAUGGCCCAGGCGACUGUUUAACAAAAACACAUGGCUAUGCGAAAUCGUAAGAUGAAGUAUAUGGCCUGACGCCUGCCCGGUGCUGGAAGGUUAAGGGGGGAAGUUAGUCGCAAGGCGAAGCUUUGAACUGAAGCCCCAGUAAACGGCGGCCGUAACUAUAACGGUCCUAAGGUAGCGAAAUUCCUUGUCGGGUAAGUUCCGACCUGCACGAAUGGUGUAACGAUCUGGGCACUGUCUCAGCCAUGAGCUCGGUGAAAUUGUAGUCACGGUGAAGAUGCCGUGUACCCGUCACGUGACGGAAAGACCCCAUGCACCUUUACUAUAGCUUCGCAUUGACAUUGGGUAGAUGAUGUGUAGGAUAGGUGGGAGGCGUUGAUCCUGUGCCGCUAGGUAUAGGGGAGCCAACGGUGAAAUACCACCCUUUAUUUAUCUGAUGUCUAAUCCGCAAGACCUGCGGAGACAGUGCGUGGUGGGUAGUUUGACUGGGGUGGUCGCCUCCGAAAGUGUAUCGGAGGCUUUCAAAGGUAUGCUCAAUACGCUUGGUAACCGUAUGUGGAGUGCAAUAGCAUAAGCAUGCUUGACUGUGAGACUGACAAGUCGAGCAGGGUCGAAAGACGGAUAUAGUGAUCCGGUGGUUCUGUAUGGAAGGGCCAUCGCUCAAAGGAUAAAAGGUACGCUGGGAUAACAGGCUGAUCUCCCCCAAGAGCUCACAUCGACGGGGAGGUUUGGCACCUCGAUGUCGGCUCGUCACAUCCUGGGGCUGGAGAAGGUCCCAAGGGUUAGGCUGUUCGCCUAUUAAAGUGGCACGCGAGCUGGGUUCAGAACGUCGUGAGACAGUUCGUUCCCUAUCUGUGAUGGGCGUAGGAAGUUUGAGAGGAUCUGACCUUAGUACGAGAGGACCGGGUUGGACCAAUCGCUGGUGUACCGGUUGUGGCGUCAGCUGCAUCGCCGGGUAGCUACGUUGGGACGAGAUAAGCGCUGAAAGCAUCUAAGCGCGAAACUCACCUCAAGAUGAGACUUCCAUUAAGGGACGUCAGAGACUAUGACGUUGAUAGGCUGCAGGUGUAAAGGCAGAA